rnacentral:tRNA from 1 species
UCCCAUAUGGUCUAGUGGUUACGGUUCCUGAUUUUCACCCAGGUGUCCUGGGUUCAAUUCCUGAUAUGAAAA